rnacentral:rRNA from 1 species
UACGUAGGGUGCGAGCGUUAAUCGGAAUUACUGGGCGUAAAGCGUGCGCAGGCGGUUCGUUGUGUCGGCGGUGAAAUCCCCCGGGCUCAACCUGGGAAUGGCCGUUGAAACUGGCGAACUGGAGUGUGGCAGAGGGGGGUGGAAUUCCGCGUGUAGCAGUGAAAUGCGUAGAGAUGCGGAGGAACACCGAUGGCGAAGGCAGCCCCCCUGGGCUGACACUGACGCUCAGGCACGAAAGCGUGGGGAGCAAACAGG